AAAGCAGGAAGUUCCUGUGUGUGUUUGUGACUGAUCUGCAGUGACUUACAGCUCAGAGCACUGAGAGCCUCAACAGAGAACUGAACUGAUCUGAUUGAACAUGGACAGAUGCUUCAUACUGAUUCUCGUCGUGGGAACAGGUUUGGUGACUGGAGACAGCAUUGAGCCAGAUAAAGGGACAGAAAAAAGUUCUAAAGAAACAGAAACUGUCAAGCUGAGCUGUUCAUAUAGUGCAAGUAGCGGUAUUGUUCGGCUUUACUGGUACAGACAGUAUCCCAACAGAGACCCUCAGUUCUUAUUAUACAAAUAUGCACCAUCAUCGAGUGAUUAUGAAGACACCUCUGAUGAUCGAUUUCAUUCAGCUACAACACAAUCCUCCACUGAACUCACUAUCACUGAUAUACGUCUGUCAGAUUCAGCUCUCUAUUAUUGUGCUCUAAGAGUCGGUGCCCAGUGA